UUACUAAUAGUAUAAAUAAUACUUCGACCUUUCAUGUCAAUAAUUCUAAUAGAUUAGUCUG
rnacentral:tRNA from 1 species